rnacentral:lncRNA from 1 species
GGCGCGGCGGCGCCGCUGGGCUUCGGCCGUAUAUUCCGGCCGUUUGGCCAGGAUUUUUGCUCCGAUUUGGCCACAGGAGGAAUCAGCGUGGAAAAACGAGUCGGGGGUACGAAAUUUACCUCGAUCGGCUGUCAGAAAUUUCCCCAGUGCGGCGGCGGGUGGCGACGGCCGGCUUCUGGUUCGUCUUCUCCGGCGAGCGGCAGGCGGCUAGGGUUUGUGGUCUGGUGUGGGGGUUCUAUUUAUAACCCUUUGCCUUUUGAUCUCAGCCGUCUAUUUUAUUUUAAUCUGGGCCGUCCGAUCGCACGCUUGAUCUGGGCCAUCCGAUCGCGCCUACGCGGAUCGCCAACGUGGCCCGUUCCGGAACGACGUGGUCUUGCCACGUGGCAGGUCCCGGUUGGCCGGGACUGCUAACCGGGCCUGCUGACGUGGCUGCCGACGUGGCUUUUUUUUUUUUCGGCCCCUUUCCGGGCGCUACAUGGAAUUUGUAAAAGUUCACUUGAAGUUCUUGAGCCGAGUUGUUCCUCUUG